UCGGGGGUCUCAUUGAUAUAAGGGCAACCGAAUCAAUGGGACUUAGAGUGUGACCUUCAAGCUCAUUACCCGCUAAGCGGGAUCGGUGGUUCAAAUCCUGCUCGGCAAAAUGGGCGUCCGCACAGCAAUGUGCGGGAAGAUCACUCGUCAAAGUCGGUGGAACCUAAACCCGCUGUUCGGCUAUGGCAAUACCGAACCAAGCCUCGGAAGAUCGAGGAAGGCGUAGAGACUGGAUGGCGAGCAUCCCCUUACACGGGAUGAAGGUACAGUCCGACUCUCAGCGAAAGCUGAGU
rnacentral:ribozyme from 1 species